rnacentral:tRNA from 1 species
GGAGGAUUAGCUCAGCUGGGAGAGCACCUGCCUUACAAGCAGGGGGUCACAGGUUCGAUCCCUGUAUCCUCCA